rnacentral:rRNA from 1 species
UACGGAGGGAGCUAGCGUUGUUCGGAAUUACUGGGCGUAAAGCGCGCGUAGGCGGCUUUGUAAGCUAGAGGUGAAAGCCCGGGGCUCAACCCCGGAAUUGCCUUUAAGACUGCAUCGCUUGAAUCCGGGAGAGGUGAGUGGAAUUCCGAGUGUAGAGGUGAAAUUCGUAGAUAUUCGGAAGAACACCAGUGGCGAAGGCGGCUCACUGGACCGGCAUUGACGCUGAGGUGCGAAAGCGUGGGGAGCAAACAGG